rnacentral:rRNA from 1 species
AGGCACCCGCACAGGUGCUGCAUGGCUGUCGUCAGCUCGUGUCGUGAGAUGUUGGGUUAAGUCCCGCAACGAGCGCAACCCUUAUCCCCAGUUGCCAUCAGGUAAAGCUGGGAACUCUGGGGAGACUGCCGGUGAUAAACCGGAGGAAGGCGGGGAUGACGUCAAGUCCUCAUGGCCCUUACAUCCCGGGCUACACACGUGCUACAAUGGCAGGUACAGAGGGCUGCGAAGCCGCGAGGUGGAGCGAAUCCCAGAAAACCUGUCUCAGUCCGGAUUGAAGUCUGCAACUCGACUUCAUGAAGGCGGAAUCGCUAGUAACCGCGAAUCAGCAGGUCGCGGUGAAUACGUUCCCGGGCCUU